rnacentral:lncRNA from 1 species
UUGGCCGCCUAUCCUAGAUCUUCCCAUUUCCAAGAAGAUCCCGGGCUCGAUCUGGUUUAGUAUCAAGGUGAUUCUUUUUCUCUUCCUAUAUAUAUGGGUCCGUGCAGCAUUUCCACGAUAUCGUUAUGAUCAAUUAAUGGGACUUGGCCGGAAUCAGGCUCGGCUAGCGGUCCACGGAGCUGCAUCCUCACCUGGUCUCCAUGCACAUCGCUCUCUCCAGGAGGUUGGCCGCCUAUCCUAGAUCUUCCCAUUUCCAAGAAGAUCCCGGGCUCGAUCUGGUUUAGUAUCAAGGUGAUUCUUUUUCUCUUCCUAUAUAUAUGGGUCCGUGCAGCAUUUCCACGAUAUCGUUAUGAUCAAUUAAUGGGACUUGGCCGGAAAGUGUUCUUGCCUCUAUCAUUAGCUCGGGUAGUCCCCGUUUCUGGUGUUUUAGUCACCUUUCAAUGGCUCCCUUAAUUAUGUGCGAGGAAUUGCCCUAUUGAGUAAUGGGAAGCGGGCUAGUCCCCGAAAAUGCCCCGCCCGUAAGUUCCUUUGUCGUUGGGGAAAAAAAAAUCUCUUUUUAUAUAUUGGUCCGUGUAGCAUUUCCACGAUAUCGUUAUGAUCAAUUAAUUGGACUUGGCCGGAAAGUGUUCUUGCCUCUAUCAUUAGCUCGGGUAGUCCCCGUUUCUGGUGUUUUAGUCACCUUUCAAUGGCUCCCUUAAUUAUGUGCGAGGAAUUGCCCUAUUGAGUAAUGGGAAGCGGGCUAGUCCCCGAAAAUGCCCCGCCCGUAAGUUCCUUUGUCGUUGGGGAAAAAAAAAUCUCUUUUUAUUUUUAG